rfam:Cucumber necrosis virus, complete genome.
UCAUGGGUUCCUUCCCAUACGAUGACGAGUCAGGUCGGGCCCUAUCUUAGGUUUGGUCACCUAGGGGACGGGGAUAUGGAAAUCACUUUCGCUUGCUGUCAGUCUAGUGGAAACACUUAGCUUGCAAUGUGGGUGUAUGCCUGGAUAAGUCGUAUGGAUGCUGGCCAUGA